UCCCCGCGGUGCAAAAUAUGAGAACCCCACUCACGGAUCUCAAAGUUGCAGUGUUUCUCCCUACCUCCGCGAUAUUUUUUACCCUUUUGGCCCAAGUUCUGCUUUGUCGCGCGAUUACAUUUGUUCUCACUCCAUGGUUUGCUUGGUUUUUUGUUAUUUUCUCGUGCGAACUCACUUUGUGCUGCUUCUUCUAGUCUUAGCUUGAUUCCUGUUCACGAAGACGUUGUUUUCACCGUGUGUUUUGACAGUUUAAUUCUGUUCCAUUUUUCAAAGCGAAUAAACCAUCAUGUCUAAGCGUUCGAAACAGACGGGAAAUUUUUAUACGAAGAGGGCUCGGUUGAUGGAUGAGGUCGAAAGGAAUGUGGAUGCAUUAAACAUCACGCUUGAAACGGCUUCGACUUCUGUUUGGCCGGACCUUGGAGUGGAAGUUACACCAGAAGAUUUGGAAUUGUUGUUUGCAGGAUGUAGUUCGGCAGAGCCAACAACAUCUACCACUACAACAACAUCGAACGCAACCACGACAUCGAACGAUUUUCAUGAAUUUGAAGAUACCUAUAAUUCGGCAGAUGUUGUGACUGAUGCCAAUGAUCGCUUCGAAUUCAUGAAAAAUUUGAAUUUGAAAGAUGCACUUGUGCAUCUUAUCAUUCUUGGCCAUGCUUCACGUUUUUUAACAGAAGGCUUCCUUGCCAACUUAAGGAAGUUCUUUAAAGCUAAAGUCCCUAAAACAAAAAGAACUUUGCUAAAAACUGAAGCCGAUAUUAAAUCAGAAAUUACACCAAUUAAUGGGGGUAAAUUAUGGUACCGUGGCAUAGAAAAAGUGCUUCUUAAAUAUUUUGAGUAAGUAUUUUUGAAACAUAUUGGUACUAAAUGAAAUUUCUCAUUCGAUGUGUGUAUAUUACAGAGAUAUUGAUCCUGAACCGGACAUAUUUACCAUCGAUGUUUCUAUCGACGGGCUUCCACUGUUUAUAAGUUCCCGUAAACAGCUUUGGCCAAUACAAAUAAGGGUGGUCGAAUUACCAAAAGUUCCACCAUUUGUCAUUGGAACUUAUGGAGGCCCGAAGAAACCCCAUAGUAUUGGAGAAUUUUUGAAUCCUUUGGUAAAGGAAAUAAACGAUCUCCAAAAAAGAGGCCUUCAGUUUAAGCAUAAGUUGGUGCCAAUGUUUCUUCGGGCUUUUAUUGCAGAUUCGCCGAUGCGGGCCACUUUGAAAGGUAUGUUUAUGAUUUUACUAUGGAAGUAAUUAUAGCUUCCAUACCAUAUGUUUCACCAACUUUUCCAUCCGUAUAUUUGCAGCUACAAUGAAUUUCAAUGCAAGACACAUGUGUUGGGACA